rnacentral:rRNA from 1 species
GACGAACGCUGGCGGCGUGCUUAACACAUGCAAGUCGAACGGUGAAGCGCUUGCCUUUUUGGUGGGUGUGGAUGAGUGGCGAACGGGUGAGUAACACGUGAGUAACCUGCCCUCUUCUUCUGGAUAACCUCAUGAAAGUGGGGCUAAUACGGGGUAUUCCGGGUCUGUCGCAUGGCGGGUUUGGGAAAGAUUGCGCCUUUGGGUGUUUUCGGUGGGGGAUGGGCUCGCGGCCUAUCAGCUUGUUGGUGGGGUGAUGGCCUACCAAGGCGGUGACAGGUAGCCGGCCUGAGAGGGUGGACGGCCACACUGGGACUGAGACACGGCCCAGACUCCUGCGGGAGGCAGCAGUGGGGAAUAUUGCACAAUGGGCGCAAGCCUGAUGCAGCGACGCCGCGUGAGGGAUGGAGGCCUUCGGGUUGUGAACCUCUUUCGCCAGUGAAGCAGGCCUGCUCCUGUGUGGGUGGGUUGACGGUAGCUGGAUAAGAAGCGCCGGCUAACUACGUG